rnacentral:lncRNA from 1 species
AAUAAUAAUAAAAAUGACAUUCAGAAAAAUUUGGAUGCGUUUUAAAACAUUAGGGGAGUUUUGCUCUUUUUCCCCUUAUAUAUGUGUAGAAGAUUUUGUUGAGAUGUCUAGCUAAUUGCAUAAUUUAUCUCAUUUUUGUGUACUAUUGUUAGCGGACUAUUUGCUGUCGUUAAUUAUUAGGAGGGGAAUUAAAUCAUGUUACCAGAACUAUGUAUUCAUGAGAAUGAAGAUAGUGGAAUGCAAGCGUUUAGAAAAUCAUGAUAAUCUGUUAGGCAUAAAUUCUCAAGAUUUAAAAUGGACAAGAACCAUUUUUAUUACGUAAUGAAUAUUGAACUCCACCAUGAACUUAAUCAAGCUUAUUCCAAUUAAAUGAUAAAUUGAUAGGUUAAAAGCUCGUUUAGUCCAUAUAUUUUGAAGUUAGUGUCCGUUUAGUCCCUAUAUUUUUAAAAAUACCUCAAACCAUCCCUACCAUUAAAUUAUUUACACUUUUACCAUUAUCUUUUGUUCCUUUUAACUUAUUUUUAUAAUAUUGCCC